UGGAAGUAAAAGUCGUAACAAGGUUUCCGUAGGUGAACCUGCGGAAGGAUCAUUACCGAGUGAGGGCCCUCUGGGUCCAACCUCCCACCCGUGUUUAUUUUACCUUGUUGCUUCGGCGGGCCCGCCUUAACUGGCCGCCGGGGGGCUUACGCCCCCGGGCCCGCGCCCGCCGAAGACACCCUCGAACUCUGUCUGAAGAUUGAAGUCUGAGUGAAAAUAUAAAUUAUUUAAAACUUUCAACAACGGAUCUCUUGGUUCCGGCAUCGAUGAAGAACGCAGCGAAAUGCGAUACGUAAUGUGAAUUGCAAAUUCAGUGAAUCAUCGAGUCUUUGAACGCACAUUGCGCCCCCUGGUAUUCCGGGGGGCAUGCCUGUCCGAGCGUCAUUGCUGCCCUCAAGCCCGGCUUGUGUGUUGGGCCCCGUCCCCCGAUCUCCGGGGGACGGGCCCGAAAGGCAGCGGCGGCACCGCGUCCGGUCCUCGAGCGUAUGGGGCUUUGUCACCCGCUCUGUAGGCCCGGCCGGCGCUUGCCGAUCAACCCAAAUUUUUAUCCAGGUUGACCUCGGAUCAGGUAG
rnacentral:rRNA from 1 species